UCUACUUUUAGUAGAGGUGAAACUAAGCUAUUCCAGAAAAUUAACUUCGGAAGCCGAAGAGUUUUGACACAACGACAGACUAGACUAGAGGGAACAAUAACUGAAGGAACGGUCAGGUGCCGAUUUAUCUCGGAGUUCCAACGAUUCAGCGAUAAGUCAGAAGGCCUUCGCAAAGAGUACGAUCCAACGGAAAGUCAGGUGUACUUUUACGCAGAUUACGGAAUGACGAGUGAUGCCGGCGCCGGUCGUAACGCUGGAAUUGACGUCGUAAGGUGCGAUGAACGAUGGCCGAUUGUUAAUCAGAGGAUAAUUUCUUCCCACGAGACGACAGUUACGGAUCGCGCGGGCAUCAAUCGUCGGUUUUAUGUGAGCGCGUGUUCGACACAAUCUUGCACACAAACACGGGGUGAAAUUCUUGUGCGUGUCCCUCGAGCAGAACGUGUGCAAUCUGGGACCAGCCGGGUCGCCGUCCUUCCGAUACUCGUGUAUUGUGAGGUUCCACGCUGUGCAAGGUCCUGUGAAGUACAAAAGGCACCGUAAUGAGCGGACAUCGUCGAAAUACGUGUUGCGAGGAAUAAUUGCCUUCAUAUUCUGUUGUUAAUACGUUGACUGUCAUGGAUUUUCAUGGAUUAUUUCAAUGCUCAGUUUAAUGCAGUUUAAAUCACCACAACUGAGCGACUCGAAAGUGUGAGAACUCUAUAUUGAAAUAUUCAAAGGAAUAUUCGAAAUUUAAUUCGUUACGUUGGCACACUGAGCGAGAAAAUAUCUAAGAAAUAAAAAAUAUUUAUUCGGUUGUUUUUUUCCAGUGCGUUCGUCGCGGAUUUCUCGGCGAUUCCUCCGAAAUUUUGAUUGAAUAGAUUGACUCUCGUAUAAGUUAUUCGAUUGAGAAGAUGGUCCUCGUUUAUUCUCGAUUUUAUUUGGUGCUCGCUUUAUCUGUUGGGUUAACGUUUGUUCGAAUUCACGCGUCACUUGAUGGACAUAGUUGCCGUAGUCCAUAAAACGCAUUGAUUUUUUCUCGUGCAAUUUGAUUGCUCGCUUAAUAUUUGUUCACUCGACGUCGUGGUUUUUCGGAAACUCACUGCUGACAUAAAGCGAGGGAAGACUAACUAAUUUUGUCGCUCAAAUAUUAGUUUAUGGUUCGUUACGUUGGACUGUAACCAGCCGAGAUAUUUCCUCGGCUUUUUAUUAUUUAUUCCGAAAGAAAUAAUAACCCGCGCGAACGUGCAUGCGUGCGAGUACGAAUGACUUAAUUGCGGAAAUUGCUUAUUAGAAUUCUUGUUAUCCACGCGGCGAACAUUUUGGCGAACUUCUUAUGUCUGAAAAUGUGACGCUCAGAGAUGAAAUUUUGCAAGAAGAGCGACUCGACUCGACUCAGCGAGAGGGCGAGAGAAGGCGAUGGGCGUGAGAAAAGGUGCGGGUGAAACGCGACGAUGCCACAGCCCGUGAGAGAGACAUAAAGAGAGAAAAAGAGAAAGGGGUAUAUUAAAGCUAUUUCCGGCCCCGGCGUUUGUGGGGCUUUGGUUACGGUUUCGACUCCACUCAUAACGUUCCGUAAGGAGGAGGAAGAAAAUGAAAAAGGCGCGGGCACGAGGAAACGAGGAGACGAGGAGCAACGCACAACACGCCGACGAUUUCCAUGAGCGAACUCGCAGAAGGGCUCGUCGUCUCGUCGGAGUAAUUCGAUUCGCGGCGGUUCACUAUUCAAAGUGAAUAGUUUUAACACGGGGUCGUUUGUGAAGUCCUGGCGGGGUUAAUUCAUCUAAUAACGUGACUCGUUUCCACGUUCCUUCCGGCGAAGCGGAUAAACCACCGCAAUUGCGUUCGAGACGCGCGUAACGGAAGCGUUUCGCUUACACGCGAAAACUCCGUAUCAUCUGCGCCCGAGACGCCGCAUAAAUCAAAACUUUCCGCGCUCGCGUCGGAGCGAUUUCAAUGUCUCGCUUUUCUCCUUAGUUAAUAUUCCUAAGUGCCGUAUAUCGCGACGGCUCGGCGUCACGAGGCCGUGCUCUCGUCUCGUUCGUAUUUCUAUCAUCUGCCCGUGGCGCGGGGGAAACCGAUAAAAACAUCUUUUCUAUCCUUUGAAACAUCGUAGGGAGUAUUCUCCGUGUCUAAUACAGAGCCAUACGAACGUACGAAUCGGAUCACCGCAUCAUCGCACAUGUAUAUGCAUCUGGUCGCAUCGAUCGCUCUCUUGCUCGCCAUUAGAGUUUCGAGAGAAAACAAGAGCGCGGAAUAAAUUAGCGGGAAUAAUACUAAAAUAGGAAUAACAUUAAAAUAAAACGAGGAAUAACAUUAAAAGACAAUGAGGAGCGCGAACAGCAACUAGCUUUGACCUCCUGAGCAAAAAUAAUUAUAUUACACUGAGGGAAUUUUCUAUUAAAAAUCAUAGAAUUUUCUAACCGUAGAAUGAAUCGAUAUUCUCCGCAGACUAAUUAACUAUCUUUUCAUUUUACGCUUUAUAUUUUAGAAACUAAAAUUUUAAAAUUGGUGUUAAAAGACUUGCCACGUUUCUCGAGAAAUUUAUUGUGUACUUUAAGAUAGUCUUAUUGAUAAUUUAUUUCUGCACUAGAAAACAGUAAAAUUGGAAAGAAUUCACGCGAGAAAGAAAAUGUUAUAAUAUAUAUUCUUUCCGUGUAUAAUUUUAGAGAAUUAUGUAAAAUUAUAUUUGUGAUUACAUAUAAUCGUAAAUGUGGAUAAUUAUAAGUAUAAAUGUCAUGUAGGAGCAUAAUUACAAAUUAUUAUACAAU